CAGCCGCCGCGGUAAUACGUAGGUGGCGAGCGUUGUCCGGAAUUAUUGGGCGUAAAGGGAGCGCAGGCGGACAUAUAAGUCCAUCUUAAAAGUGCGGGGCUCAACCCCGUGAGGGGAUGGAAACUGUAUGCCUUGAGUGCAGGAGAGGAAAGCGGAAUUCCCAGUGUAGCGGUGAAAUGCGUAGAUAUUGGGAGGAACACCAGUGGCGAAGGUGGCUUUCUGGACUGUAACUGACGCUGAGGCUCGAAAGCCAGGGGAGCGAACGGGAUUAGAUACCCCAGUAGUCCCUGUCUCUUAUACA
rnacentral:rRNA from 1 species